UGUCCUCUUUAGGAAGGCAAGAUCACCGGUCCAGAAUCAGGCAUAAAAGUGAAUACGUGUUUACAACAGGGAAAUGACAACCGGUUUCUUUUCUGACAUCCAGCACCGAGCUGAAAUCAGGGCAAAACAGCAACACAACACCGUAUGAAUCAACUGCCUCAUCUAUUUCAAAAGUUCUGGGUUCAGCGACCAGAGAAGACCAGUCACUUCACACAGGAAAAUGAAAUGCCUGAGAUAAAAGAGCCUCGGUCGCCAUUGUCCCUUUCUGGCCACAAACUCUUGAUCAUUUCUUCUUAUCCAUACCUUUAGCUGCAGAGAAGAAAGCAAGCGACCUCAUUCUUUUCUCUAGAAAUGUUGAUCAGAAAGAAGACCUGGCCGCCUAGAAGUGUCUUCGGGCUUUGUAAACCGCAUGGGCAGCGGCACCUACUGCAUUCGGUUGCUCAGGCUCCACGACAAAUGCCACCAACUAGUGGCCUGAAUGACAAAAACUUACCAUCUCACAGUCCCUAAGGGUGGAAGCCUGAGACUGAGGUGUCACGGGCUGAUACUUCCGAGGCCUCUCUCCUUGGCGUGUUGUUACCAUCUUCUCUCUGUGUCUUCGCGUGAUCACCUCUCUGCGUGCCUGUGUCCCAACCUGGUCUUCUGAGGCCACCAGGCAUAUGACAUGAGGGCCACUGGAGGACCUCAUUUAAACUCAAUUGCCUCUUUAAAGACCCUUGCUGCAAAUACAGCCAGAUUCUCAGGCACUGGGGGCUAAGACAUUAUUGGGGACAUUAUUUGGUCCAUGGCACAUAUUUGGAGGAGGACUAUUGUCAAAGAUAGGGGAAUCAUCAAAUUUCCUUCCUACAGAGCUAAAACAUGUCAAAGCAUUUCACAUGUUGAAUGCAGGGACUAACCUUGGACACCUGCUGACUUCACGACUCUCAUCAGCCAGUCCCUCAGUGUCACCUGGAGCUGCAACCCUGACUUCCAGGUCACAGUGGACAGGAGCAGCUUUCUGGAAGGAUCCGGAGAGCAGCGAAGACUCAACCCUGCCGAGGACCGUGAGCCGCUUAGAACAUGUCACUGAAGCCACUGAAGGAAUCCCAGCCCAACUCCCCAGGGCCAGAUCCCUAAAGAGCCACAACCACCCAUCACCAGGGGCAAGGCAGGGGUCCGGGGAGACGCGGAGAGCGGUCCGCGGGGUUUGGUGUUGGAGACAGUGAG
rnacentral:lncRNA from 1 species